ACAAAAUAGAAGUUCCUAUAAUAACUCCCUCAGCUGCCCACCACCAAAUGUCUAGGCUUCCUAUGUCUGUACUGUCUUCACCCUCCUUCUUCCUGUCAACUUGGAGGAGGUGUCUCUCCUUCCAUCAAAGGUCAAUGCCUCCACUUUUGCCUUAUAUAGAAAAUUAUCUCUACUAUUGCUUUUUUCUUCUACUUAAUUAAUCUCUCUGUCUGUGCUGGAACAUUCCUAUCAGCUUAAACAUCUGAUAUAUCCCAUGCUGAAAAAAACAAAAGACGGAGGAGGAAGAGGAGGAGGAGGAGAAAGGAAAGGAAACCUGUCCUUUAAGUGCUCCUUCUAACUACCAAACCAUUUCUCUGCCCUGUGUCAUAUCCAUUUUUAUUGAAAGAGAUGUAUACACUCCACCUCUACUUCCUCACCUCUUCUUCAUUCUUCAAUAUCCUCCAAUCUCUCUCCAUUUUCAUAUCUUCAUUGGUGUGAAUUAUUAUGUCAUUAAAGUUAAUAAACUAUUUUUCUGUCUUCAUCUUAUUAGACCUCUUAGCAAUAUGCAAUGUGACAUCUAGGUUCUUCUCAAAACCCUCUUUACCUUGGCUUCUGUACCUGUUCUAUCUUCUACCACACUGGCCUACCACAAUAAUUUCAUUCUUCUUUGAUGGUCUCUUUAACUAUUGUUAUUUUUCAGAAUUUGGCUCUUCUUACGUGUUCUCAUCCAUUUCUAUGGCUUUACAUUUUUCUUUUGUGUCAGGACCCCCUUAAGCAUCAGAUUCAUGUCCACUCACCUACUUAAAUAUAUUAUAUUACCAUCUCAGUUUAGAAAGCAUCACAAGGCGACCUCAUUUGGCAUUUCAUUGCACUCAUUACAUGUGUGGAAACAUCCCUUCCAGACCAUCAUCUUCUGCUAAGUGUCCAGGGCUUGCUUAAGGCUUAUGAGUUCCUGGGAUAUUGCAAAAUGAUUUGUCUAUAUGUUCAUAUGGGGUAAGUCAGAGAAGGGUCAAACAAAAUUGAAGGACCAACAGGUGUCACUCCUGCAGAUCAGUGGCUUGGAGAAGUGCCAGAUACUACUGAAGAGAUGCUUUUAUUAGUCAUUGAUGAAAAGGACAGCUUGCAUAAUAUCAGGGCACAAGGGAUGGACAGUGAUUGCAUAAAGGUAGACCAGUGCACUUUUCAGAUGAUGACUUCUACAUGGCUUUUAGGUACCUGAGCAAUGCUCCUCACUGUGGUUCUUUGCUGAACUAGUCCCCAUUCCUGUCCAUGUGGCCCAUUCAGAUUUAGCCCUCUGACCUACACCACCAACCCUCUUCACUUCUUUGUUCCAUUUUAUCCCAGGGUAUCUCUUCUUUUCUGGCCACAGAAUGGCAUGACUGUUUGAAUACAGGGUAUGAAGAGGAGAAAAGUAAAAACCAGAUAAUAUGUCAAAUUAUUAUUCUAGCAAGAUAUCUGCAUUAGACAGCUCAUGCUGCCAUGAUGAAAUACCAUAGAUUGGGUGGUUUAAAAAACAGAAAUUUAUGUUCUCGUAGUUGUAGAGGCUAGAAAGUUCAGCAUUAAGGUCCAGGAGGGUUCAGUCUCUGAUAGUUGCCUUUUCCCUUUGCCCUCACAUGGUGGAGAAAGAGAAAUCUCUGCUUUCUCUUCCUUUUUUAUAAGGAAUCAGUUAUAUAGGAUCAAGGCUCCACUUUUACAACCUCAUUUAACCUGAAUCACCCCUUACAGCCUUAUCUCCAAUAUUGUCAUGUGGAGGCUUGGGGUUUUAACAUGUAAAUUUGGAGGGAGGAUACAAUUCAGUCCAUAGCAAUAUCUAAUAGGAAUCUCAAGCUAUAACGUGUCUAAAACAGACUACCUGAUUCUCCCGGGUUCCCACAUCCUCAUCCACAAAAUCUCCCUUUCAUAGCCUUUUUAUCAAAUUGAGUAAUCAGCACAAUUAUCUAGCCACUUGCUUAAGCAUAAAACAUGGAUUGAUUUGUCCAUGAGUCUUUUUAUUUUCUUAUUGUGCAUUAUCAAAGCGAAGAGCAAGACCUGUUGCCUCGAUCGUCAUAGAAUUUCUUGAAUUUGGUCACUUAUCCAUCUCUACACUCAAUACCUUAGUGUAUGCCACCAUCAUCUGGAAUGCUAACCUCUAUAAUGGUGUCCCUGCUACCAAUCUUGUUAUGUCAUAAUCCAUUCCUCACAGCCAGAGUGAUUUUAUCAAAAUGUUCAUCAGAUUAAUACAUGCAUAUGAACAAAAUGCACUUAAAAUACAAUCCUAUUGCCUUACCUUGGCCUACAAGACCCUGUCAACAUAGUAAAAUGGAG
rnacentral:lncRNA from 1 species